rnacentral:rRNA from 1 species
UGCAAGUCGAACGAGACCUUCGGGUCUAGUGGCGCACGGGUGCGUAACGCGUGGGAAUCUGCCCUUAGGUACGGAAUAACUCAGAGAAAUUUGUGCUAAUACCGUAUGAUGUCGAAAGACCAAAGAUUUAUCGCCUAAGGAUGAGCCCGCGUAAGAUUAGCUUGUUGGUGAGGUAAAAGCUCACCAAGGCGACGAUCUUUAGCUGGUCUGAGAGGAUGAUCAGCCACACUGGGACUGAGACACGGCCCAGACUCCUACGGGAGGCAGCAGUGGGGAAUAUUGGACAAUGGGCGAAAGCCUGAUCCAGCAAUGCCGCGUGAGUGAUGAAGGCCUUAGGGUUGUAAAGCUCUUUUACCAGGGAUGAUAGUGACAGUACCUGGAGAAUAAGCUCCGGCUAACUCCGUGCCAGCAGCCGCGGUAAUACGGAGGGAGCUAGCGUUGUUCGGAAUUACUGGGCGUAAAGAGUACGUAGGCGGUUAUUCAAGUCAGAGGUGUAUGCCUGGAGCUCAACUCCAGAACUGCCUUUGAAACUAGAUAGCUAGAAUUAUGAAGAGGUUAGUGGAAUUCCGAGUGUAGAGGUGAAAUUCGUAGAUAUUCGGAAGAACACCAGUGGCGAAGGCGACUAACUGGACAUAUAUUGACGCUGAGGUACGAAAGCGUGGGGAGCAAACAGGAUUAGAUACUCUGGUAGUCCACGCCG